rnacentral:rRNA from 1 species
UACUGAGGUCUCAAGCGUUGUUCGGAUUCAUUGGGCGUAAAGGGUGCGUAGGCGGCGCGGUAAGUCGGGUGUGAAAUCUCGGAGCUUAACUCCGAAACUGCAUUCGAUACUGCCGUGCUUGAGGACUGGAGAGGAGACUGGAAUUUACGGUGUAGCGGUGAAAUGCGUAGAUAUCGUAAGGAAGACCAGUGGCGAAGGCGGGUCUCUGGACAGUUCCUGACGCUGAGGCACGAAGGUCAGGGGAGCAAACGGG